CUGAUAAUGAUUUGCUAGAUUAUAAAGGUCAUAUGAUAUUUCUCCUAUAAUCUAUUAAUGUGGUUCAUGCAGCUGAAGCCACUUCAGAAUGAUACAAACC